GACGAACGCUGGCGGCGUGCUUAACACAUGCAAGUCGAACGGAAAGGCCCUGCUUUUGUGGGGUGCUCGAGGUGCGAACGGGUGAGUAACACGUGAGUAACCUGCCCUUGACUUUGGGAUAACUUCAGGAAACUGGGGCUAAUACCGGAUAGGAGCUCCUGCUGCAUGGUGGGGGUUGGAAAGUUUCGGCGGUUGGGGAUGGACUCGCGGCUUAUCAGCUUGUUGGUGGGGUAGUGGCUUACCAAGGCUUUGACGGGUAGCCGGCCUGAGAGGGUGACCGGCCACGUUGGGACUGAGAUAAGGCCCAGACUCGUACGGGAGGCAGCAGUGGGGAAUAUUGCACAAUGGGCGGAAGCCUGAUGCAGCAACGCCGCGUGCGGGAUGACGGCCUUCGGGUUGUAAUCCGCUUUCGCCUGUGACGAAGCGUGAGUGACGGUAAUGGGUAAAGAAGCACCGGCUAACUACGUG
rnacentral:rRNA from 1 species